rnacentral:rRNA from 1 species
UUGAACGCUGGCGGUAUGCUUAACACAUGCAAGUCGAACGGAAACGAUACUAGCUUGCUAGUAGGCGUCGAGUGGCGGACGGGUGAGUAACGCGUAGGAAUCUGCCUGAUAGUGGGGGAUAGCCCGAAGAAAUUCGGAUUAAUACCGCAUAAUCUAUUCGUAGUAAAGUGGGGGACUUUCGAGCCUCACGCUAUCAGAUGAGCCUGCGUAAGAUUAGCUUGUUGGUAGGGUAAAAGCCUACCAAGGCGACGAUCUUUAGCUGGUCUGAGAGGAUGAUCAGCCACAUCGGGACUGAGACACGGCCCGAACUCCUACGGGAGGCAGCAGUGGGGAAUAUUGGACAAUGGGGGCAACCCUGAUCCAGCAAUACCGCGUGUGUGAAGAAGGCCUGAGGGUUGUAAAGCACUUUCAAUUGUGAAGAAAAGUUAGCGGUUAAUAACUGUUAGCCUUGACGUUAACUUUAGAAGAAGCACCGGCUAACUCCGUGCCAGCAGCCGCGGUAAUACGGAGGGUGCAAGCGUUAAUCGGAAUUACUGGGCGUAAAGCGUGCGUAGGCGGUUUAUUAAGUCAGAUGUGAAAGCCCCGGGCUUAACCUGGGAACUGCAUUUGAAACUGGUCAACUAGAGUAUGGUAGAGGAAAGUGGAAUUUCUGGUGUAGCGGUGAAAUGCGUAGAUAUCAGAAGGAACAUCAAUGGCGAAGGCAGCUUUCUGGACCAAUACUGACGCUGAGGUACGAAAGCGUGGGUAGCAAACAGGAUUAGAUACCCCUGGUAGUCCACGCCGUAAACGAUGAUAACUAGCCGUUGGGGGGAUUUACCCUUUAGUGGCGAAGCUAACGCGUUAAGUUAUCCGCCUGGGGAGUACGGCCGCAAGGUUAAAACUCAAAGGAAUUGACGGGGACCCGCACAAGCGGUGGAGCAUGUGGUUUAAUUCGAUGCAACGCGAAGAACCUUACCUGGUCUUGACAUCCUGCGAACUUUCUAGAAAUAGAUUGGUGCCUUCGGGAACGCAGUGACAGGUGCUGCAUGGCUGUCGUCAGCUCGUGUCGUGAGAUGUUGGGUUAAGUCCCGUAACGAGCGCAACCCCUAUCCUUAUUUGCCAGCACAUCAUGGUGGGAACUAUAAGGAGACUGCCGGUGAUAAACCGGAGGAAGGCGGGGACGACGUCAAGUCAUCAUGGCCCUUACGACCAGGGCUACACACGUGCUACAAUGGGAAGGACAAAGAGCCGCGAAGCCGCGAGGUGUAGCUAAUCUCAUAAACCUUUUCGUAGUCCGGAUUGGAGUCUGCAACUCGACUCCAUGAAGUCGGAAUCGCUAGUAAUCGUAGAUCAGAAUGCUACGGUGAAUACGUUCCCGGGUCUUGUACACACCGCCC